UACGGAGGGUGCGAGCGUUGUCCGGAAUCACUGGGCGUAAAGGGCGCGUAGGCGGCUCAUGAAGGCUGUGGUGAAAGUCCGGGGCUCAACCUCGGAUCGGCUGUGGCGACUCGUGGGCUGGAGCACUGUAGAGGCGGGUGGAAUUCCGGGUGUAGCGGUGGAAUGCGUAGAGAUCCGGAAGAACACCAGUGGCGAAGGCGGCCCGCUGGGCAGUGGCUGACGCUGAAGCGCGACAGCGUGGGGAGCAAACAGG
rnacentral:rRNA from 1 species